rnacentral:rRNA from 1 species
GAGUUUGAUCGUGGCUCAGAACGAACGCUGGCGGCAUGCCUAACACAUGCAAGUCGAACGGGAUCCAGGCUUCGGCCUGGUGAGAGUGGCGGACGGGUGAGUAACGCGUGGGAACCUGCCCAAUGGUCUGGGAUAACCGCGGGAAACUGCGGCUAAUACCGGAUAAGCCCGAGAGGGGAAAGAUUUAUCGCCGAUGGAGGGGCCCGCGUCCGAUUAGGUAGUUGGUGAGGUAACGGCUCACCAAGCCGACGAUCGGUAGCUGGUCUGAGAGGAUGAUCAGCCACACUGGGACUGAGAUACGGCCCAGACUCCUACGGGAGGCAGCAGUGGGGAAUAUUGGACAAUGGGGGCAACCCUGAUCCAGCAAUGCCGCGUGAGUGAUGAAGGCCUUAGGGUUGUAAAGCUCUUUUGGCGGGGACGAUGAUGACGGUACCCGCAGAAUAAGCCCCGGCCAACUUCGUGCCAGCAGCCGCAGU